rfam:Trametes pubescens strain FBCC735 TRAPTBscaffold_422, whole genome shotgun sequence.
GGCGAGAUGGCCGAGCGGUCUAAGGCGCCAGACUAAGGAGUACCCCGUGGUGCUGCGAUAUCUGGUCCGAAAGGGCGUGGGUUCGAAUCCCACUCUCGUCA